CAGGGGGUGGCUAAGAAGCAAAGCAUCUCCCUUACACCGAGAAGACGCCCGUGCAAAUCGGACCUCCCUGA
rnacentral:tRNA from 1 species